UGUCAAUGAAUUAACCCGCACGGAUGUAACAAUCAAAAAUUAUGGCGGCCAUAAAACAUCUCAGAGAAAUAUGGGGUUUAAAACGAGAAUCCACGAACAUCUUACUUUAGCUAGUAAUAUAAGUCUUUAUAUCGCCGUCAAAAAAAGCUAAGUACAAAAUUUUCUUGAAGUUUUUCGACCAACUGUUCAGGUAUAGAUGAAGUUUAUGCUAAAGGUGCCUUGUAUCUCACCAAAACUAUGUCCAAGACUCAUUGUAAAAAUAAUGUCGAGGUGAAUUUGAAAGUAUUAUUAUUUUAAUAUAAUAAUAAGAAAUAUGAAAUUUUUGGUGUA
rnacentral:rRNA from 1 species